CUACCUGGUUGAUCCUGCCAGUAGUCAUAUGCUUGUCGCAAAGAUUAAGCCAUGCAUGAGUAAGUAUAAACUCUUUUGUACUGUGAAACUGCGAA
rnacentral:rRNA from 1 species